CAAAUACUGAGGAGCUCUCUGCUUUAAAGGUAGCAAAAGAAAAUGAAUCAGACUAAAGAAUAUAAGGGUUUUCUGAAGGUGAGGUGAUGAGAGAAAGUCCAGUGCCUGAGACAGACAAGCUGUCAGUUGGAAAAUAACUCUUCACAACACAUCUGGGAGCGUGCAAGCUGGGCCAUGGAGGACUGACAGCUGCUCACACUUCGCAGGCUACUGUGACAGUCCAAAAAAUGACCAGAAUUACCAGCCAAUUGGCAUGAUGCUGAUGCAAGUCCUCCAAAUGUGCAGCUGCUGCCCUGGCAUCCAUGGUGAUUUUAAUAGCAGUGGUGGCAUGUAUUAAUUAAAUCAGCAGGGAAACAGCAAGUUUAUGACAUGGCUUAAAGGAAAACUGAAUGUACAUCAUUAAUACAGAGGAGAAAAGGUAGUGUACAAUGACAUUUCCUUUUAAACUGCUAUUUAAACUGUUACUGUUGUAAUUUGAGCGCUCUGGCAUGUGAUGGUGUGAGUGGAAAUGUAUUCUCAAGCUAAUGCACCAGCUUAUUGCCUUUAAAUGGUUUUAUUUACCUUCUUUUAAAGACAUUUGGCACAUGUCAGCCUGGACAGACAAUGUCUGCAAAGUCCCGCUUGUUUUCACCUCUGUUACCCUGUAAGGAUGCUUUGCAGACUCUCAGCCCCGGCUCCUCUGCUGCCACAG
ensembl:lncRNA